rnacentral:pre_miRNA from 1 species
ACAACAUGCGGACCGUCGGUCUACCGAGCAAUAUCCAGCCGCUCGGUGGAAGAUCUUCCCUCCGUUCU